rnacentral:sRNA from 1 species
CCGGAUGCCAAAAUCGGGUCCGGCACGGGCGCCGGGCUGGUCUUUUCGGACCCGUCUGAAUCCCCGCCUUGCGCUCCUUCGUAUCCAUCUUGCUCUUUGGAGGACUUGGUUAUGAGGA